rnacentral:lncRNA from 1 species
GGAAAGUGAGUGCUCUGGACUCCAGUACUAAAUAUCACUUUUUGAAACUUUUCUAACAGGGCUGCCGCAACAGAUUCUGAACAACAAUUUUGAACUUAGAGCUUCGAAGAUGGUAGAGGCCCAGACUAUUCUAAAGCAAUCUGUGUAGUAGAAUGAGCAAUAGGAAGAUCCAUGUCUUGUGGGCAAAGGACCCAAAGAAAAUGAAAGGACACACCACGCAGAGCUGCUGGAACAAAGGGAAUGUGGAAAUGAAAGAGAGAGGGAGAGAGAGGCUGGCAGAUGUAAUGAGACGCGGUGAAGGUGUACGCAGACGGGCACUCCCACGCCUCCUCCCUUCGGCUCUCACUGCAGCCCUGGGUAACUCGCAGGCUAACACAAACAGCUUUUCUCCCGCAGCCUGCCCUCUGUCACUGUAAGUACAUCACCCUUCUCUUAUCAGCAUGCAGAUUCCAGCCACGCACUCCCUCGCCUUGGCUUUGCACCUUUGACAGCAAAAGCACAUUGGGAAAUGAACUUUCCUAAGCUAGGAAAGGCAUGUUUAUAAAACUUACUUUUUAUUUAUCUUUAUUGUUUUUUGAAAACAGAAGUUCAUGUAUUUUUACCACUUUCCUUACCUUCUUUGUGACGGUGCUCUGUUGCUCCUGUCACUGUGGCUGUGCUUUUCUCAACUGGAUGUUGCUCAGAUUCAAAUGAAAUUUAAUGUUAUUCUCCAUCCGCUUAAAGUCCAGGCGCAUGCCUUGUCCUUCUGCGAAAUGACAUCUUAAAGGACGAAGAAUAUUAUUCACGGUUUGCUUUUGUUGCUGAAACAGGAGUUCUAACCUCUUUGAGGCACUGACUGUCCCAAGGGCACUGUUAUUUGGG